UUUUUCUUUACAACUAAGGAUAAGGAUGAAAACAGCUAGUUGAAACCCAAGAGUAAGGUGUUCCUGGACAGCAAGUGAGUGACUUGCUCACAGGCGGUAAUUCAGGGACCCAGGUUUCUUCUACCUGGUAGCUCUACUGUCCUUCAGAACCUCAGAGCCCUGUGCAUUCAGCCAGCAGGAGAAAGACCACUACUAAGGUCAUUCACUUUGGGAGAAGCCAGUCUUCAUGCCAUGAGGACGUUCAGGCAGCCCUGUGGAGAGAACCACAUGGAAAGGAUCUGAGGUCUCUCACCAGCACCAAUUUGCCAGCUAUGGGAAUGGGCCACCUUGGAAGGAGACUGUCCAGCCCAAGUGAAGGCUGCAGAUAACUGCAGCUUUGGCCAACAUUUGGCUAUAUUGCUUUGGGAAAUCUCAAGCCAGAACCAUCUGGCCAAGCUGCUCUUAAAUUCCUGAUCCACAGAAGUUUUGGAAGGUAACAAGACACACAAUUCUUACAGAUCCCUCAAGAGCUGUUUGAAAAAUAGUGGAUUUUAAAAUCUAGAAGGAGUGUGAAAGGAACCCAGGGGCUUUGCCAAUGGAGUGUCAUCAUUCAGGCCCCAUUUUGAAUCUAAACCAUCUGAUGAACCCUUUGCUGACACAUCAGCCUAUUGCUUCCUGGAAGAAUAAUUUGCACUUCAAGACUAAUUCUGAAACAAUACAAUUGCAAGGAGGAAACACAUUUGGAGUAGAGAAAUUAUAUAUGUAUAUAAAACUUAUUAUCUAACCAGGACAUAUUUGAGGUGCCAGACUAUGUGAGUGAGUGUGCUUUCACAUGACUUCAAUCCCAGCCGUCUGCAUCCAUCUGAGAGAUCCUGAGCCAAAACCUGCCCAACCAAGUCACUCCUGAG
rnacentral:lncRNA from 10 species